CUGUACACACGGAUAACAUACCGAAAGGUAUGCUAAUACGGGAUAAUAUAUGAAAGUUGCAUAGCUUUCAUAUCAAAGCUUUUGCGGUACAGGAUGGACCCGCGUCUGAUUAGCUAGUUGGCAAGGUAAAGGCUUACCAAGGCGACGAUCAGUAGCCGACCUGAGAGGGUGAUCGGCCACACUGGAACUGAGACACGGUCCAGACUCCUACGGGAGGCAGCAGUGGGGAAUAUUGCACAAUGGGCGAAAGCCUGAUGCAGCAACGCCGCGUGAGCGAUGAAGGCCUUCGGGUCGUAAAGCUCUGUCCUCAAGGAAGAUAAUGACGGUACUUGAGGAGGAAGCCCCGGCUAACUACGUGCCAGCAGCCGCGGUAAUACGUAGGGGGCUAGCGUUAUCCGGAAUUACUGGGCGUAAAGGGUGCGUAGGCGGUCUUUCAAGCCAGAAGUGAAAGGCUACGGCUCAACCGUAGUAAGCUUUUGGAACUGUAGGACUUGAGUGCAGGAGAGGAGAGUGGAAUUCCUAGUGUAGCGGUGAAAUGCGUAGAUAUUAGGAGGAACACCAGUAGCGAAGGCGGCUCUCUGGACUGUAACUGACGCUGAGGCACGAAAGCGUGGGGAGCGAACAGGAUUAGAUACCCUGGUAGUCCACGCCGUAAACGAUGAGUACUAGGUGUCGGGGGUUACCCCCCUCGGUGCCGCAGCUAACGCAUUAAGUACUCCGCCUGGGAAGUACGCUCGCAAGAGUGAAGCUCAAAGGAAUUGACGGGGACCCGCACAAGUAGCGGGGCAUGUGGUUUAAUUCGAAGCAACGCGAAGAACCUUACCUAAGCUUGACAUCCCACUGACCUCUCCCUAAUCGGAGAUUUCCCUUCGGGACAGUGGAGACAGGUGGUGCAUGGUUGUCGUCAGCUCGUGUCGUGAGAUGUUGGGUUAAGUCCCGCAACGAGCGCAACCCUUGCCUUUAGUUGCCAGCAUUAAGUUGGG
rnacentral:rRNA from 1 species